CGCGCCCUGCUCUGGGACCCCCGAUUCCCCGCCCGAAUCCCCAGACGAGGACUUUGACCUCCAGACUAAGGGCCUUCAAGUCCUGACCUCACCCCCUAUACCUGGACUUGAACUCCCAGACCCCGCCUGGCCAGGACACCCAAAUAAUGGUUCAAAACUCUGGGUUGGCCUAGAUCUCUGAUCGGAAGCCCAGACUGUAGAUCAGACCCUCAACUCGCAGACGCCUAACCCCCAGACCCAGAACCUGCUUGACCAUCGACCCUUGCUGACCAACCUCACAGACCCUCAGAGUCCCCCUGCCUUGUCCUUCCAUCCUUCUCUAGACUUUACUCAAAAACCCAGAACCCCACUUGCCCCCACUCUCAGGCACCACCUGUUUCCCCCACCUGCUCACCUUGUUCCUAUUGGGCAUAAAUAUCCAUGGGGCCCCUGCCAGCCCCCACCUCCCUCCUUCCCGCUCUUUGCCCCAUCCCUACUCUGAACCCUGUAUCCUCCACCUGUGCACCCUGACUCCAGGGUACUUCUUCAGUGGAAACUGUGAUUGCCCAUGAGCCCUCUCUCCUGCCAGAACCCCUAAACCUUUAGAUACUCCUCCCUCCAUCUGGCCCACCAGGUCGCUCUCUGCACACAGUACUACUCAAACCCCCUGCUUCUCCUCCCCUAAGUCCUUUCCCCACACUUUGGCCUUCCAGAUUCCCCCACCCCUCCUGCACCGGUGGGCUGGGCCGGGCCCGGCGGGGUGGUGGGGGCCCAGACUCAGGGGCUGGACUGAGGCUCCACUGGUUGCGCUGGGGGAGGGAAUCGGGCCUCAAGCUUCGCGGGGAGAUUCCUCCCGCUGGCCGUUUCCCAGUUUCUAAGCCCCAUCUGGGCCGGUGAGGGGGGCGUCUGGGGAGUAGGAGGGAGUGAGUAUGGAGGAGUUUGGGUUGCGGCGCCUCCAAGGCCAGGGAAGAUGGUGGCGGCUUGAGGGGUGGGGGGAAGUGGAAGUGGUGAGACAGCCGACAUAUUGCUGCCCCGGCGGGCGGGCCGAGGAGAUAUGUUGACGGGUGCUGGGCUUCCCGCACCCUUUCUGGGCCGAAAGGCCAAAGACUUGGCCUCCGGGAGUCAGGGGGCCUGUCAGAUCCUGAGGCCCUGUAAGGGGGAAGUGGCGGACCAGCUAGAUGAGGACUUGGGGGCCAGAUGGAGUUGGGAGGCAUCUGAGGUGGACUUUCACGAAGACUGUGGGCCUGGAAGCUGUCCCUAAGCGGCCUCCCGCCGGGAGCAGGUGCGGUGCCCGGUGGCAGCCUGAUUCGGGGGCUUUGGGGUUGGGGGAGAGGUGCCCUCGCAGCAGCUCUGGAGGCUGGACAGUGUCUGUGGGGGGGUGUGGCCCCUCAGCCUCAGAGCCGCGGUGGGGUCCCCGGGCUGUGAACAGCAGAGCCUCCUUGCUGGGGGCCUGGCCGAGGGACAGUGUGUCUCCCAUCUGAGCCCAUCUGUUGACUGUCCCUGGGGGCCUGGCCUCAGGGGCACAGCCCAGAGGUUUCAAAAUGGCAUCCGUUCCGCCGCCGCUGCGGGUAGGAAGAGAAGGGGCGGGAAGGGGCGGCGGCCCAGCCUCCUGGGCUGUUUUGCGUUGGGCGCUUGCCUCUUCCUGUCUUUGCUGCGAGUGCGGCAGCACCAGUGAGUGGGUGUCGCCAAGGUGGAGGGCCCGUUGCCGCUGCCCACUGGGCCUGGGUAGGGUCCUUCUGGUAUCGCUGUCCCCUGGUGCCCACCCAGGGGCCUCUGGCUGGCCCCUUCUCGGGCUGAUGGGCUGAGGAGACGUGGGACUGGGCCAUAGGGCCGUGACACAGAGGGCUCCUGGCCCUCUGUGCACCAACCCCAUUCCACUAGUCUUGUUCCUUGGAGCUCAGCUCAGGUUUUGGGCCUGGCAUCCCCUCCCACACUGGCCCGGCAGCAAGCAGGGGUGCAGGGUCUGGCUCAGCAUUUUCUAGGCUGAGGAGUCCACCUCAGCAUCCUGCUCCCCCUCUGGCCUUUGCUUCUUCUGUUGAAUGGGCUUCCUGGGUUGGGGCCAAAGAGCGCUGGGCCCAGGAUGGAGGGAAUAGGGGCCCCGUGGAGGUUCCUGUUGGGGGUAGGGGAUGGGAACUAAGUAAGGCCUUGCAGAGGGUAUACAGCAAGGGGCUGAGAGACCUACCUCUGCCUGAAACUGCCAAUCUGCCAUGGCUGCCUGGGUAAGGGUCCUGGCUGGCCCAUCCAGGUACCGGGAGGUGAUGGGAGCCCAGCUGGGGCAGCUUCAGAGUGCUGGGUGCCUGUCCCAUGUAGCGGGAAGAAUUCUGUCCAGGCAACGGGACUCUUAGGUUGGGCAAUUGCCAGCCUUCCCUUCCAGCCAGAACCACGCCUGCUGCCCCACCCGCAUCCUGGCUCCUUGCCCUCCUGGGUAGCCCUGCUGGCGGAUGGGCACCGGGGGCAGAGGCAGAUGUGGUACAUGCCAUGAGAGUGUUUUUCCUGGAGCUUGGUCGAGAGGGGCAGAGCUGCUGAUACCAGCCCUACUUCUGGGACACCCCCACCACCACCACCUAGUUCAACCUGACUGACCAACAGUUCCCAGACUCUGCUCAGGGACCACCUCCCAGGAUCCUUCCUUGACAAGGCCCCUUCAGACCAGCUGCUGAAGCACCUCCUCUGGCUCCUGGUGUUACUGCUUCCCCCAUCGGAGCAUCAUAUUUGCCUGCUGCCUCUCCUUGAGACUACAGGGGCAGGGCUGUGUCCUGUUCACCUCUGAGCCUUCUGUACCAAGCAUGGAGCUUGGUGCCUAUUGAAUGCUUCUUGUCUGUUUGUCGAAUGAACAAAGUGCUACUAGUCUGAGCUCAGUCUUGGGGAUGGGUGGGUAGAUGGGGGAAUACAGUGACGGUCACUGAGCCUGACAUAUUGUGGGUAGGCAGCAAGGGCUCCACGUCAGGCCAGUGCAGUGUCUGGGAUUGGUGGGGGAUAGCAAGAGAGUUCUUCAGGUUGUUUCUUCCUUAACUCCCCACCUGCCCAGCUGGUUCCUCAGAGGCAGCCCUUAUCCCAUCCUGUGCGCGCAGAACUCUUGCAGUGCUCUGUCCUGUAAAGUCCGUAGCCUGUCAGAGGACAGAGCACGCAGUAGGGACUCCAGCUGUUCUUUUUUUUUUUUUUUUUCUUAUGAUAGUCACACGGAGGGAGAGAGAGAGAGAGGCAGAGACAUAGGCAGAGGGAGAAGCGCUCCAUGCACCGGGAGCCCAACGUGGGAUUCGAUCCCGGGUCUCCAGGAUCGCGCCCUGGGCCAAAGGCAGGCGCCAAACCGCUGCGCCACCCAGGGAUCCCGACUCCAGCUGUUCUAUGAGAGUGGCUGGCCAUGCUUCCUUUGGGCUCCGGCAGGCCUGCUGUCUUCGCCGCCCCAGGAGAGGCUGUCUAGCUCUCAGGGCUGGGACCACCCCGCAGCCACGGGGUUCAGGCCAGAGCAAUGCCAUGGCAGUGCUUGGCCUGGCCAGUGCAGGGACUGUACCUACAAGGCCUCAGGCUUACCAAAAAAAAAGGGAGUUCUGGGGUCUCUGUCCAGUCUGUGUUUCUAACAAGUGGCCUGGCAUAUAGUCAGUGCCUAUUAAGCAUGUGUGGAAAGAAUGAAGCUCUAGAGCACAGCCAUGAACGGAGAUAAGUAAUUCUGGGGAUGUUGCGCGGCUCUUGGUCUAGCUGGAGAAGGGGUAGCCUGGGAUCCUGGUUGGUGGAGUAAUGAAUGGGAAGAGACUGAAUGGAGUGAGGGUGGGGGUCCUCUGAGUGGCUUUGAAAAAUGAGCAGCAUUUGCCAGGCAUAGGGAUGGGGCAGAGGGACCACCUCAGCAGGAGCACUGAGGCUGAAAGGAGGAGGGCUCGGACUAGCUCUUGGGAUCACUCAGACGCAGGUUCCAAUCCCAACUCCACCUAGUGCAUGAGCUGAGAAACGCAGCGACAGGUAAAAUCUUGUAGGUGCUCUGUUCCCCUUCUGUGAUCUGGGAACUGGGCGCCUGCCUGCAGCCACAGGUGUUGUGGGGACAGUGCACCAAAGCCUGGGAGUGUGGAAACCAGUGAAGGAGCCGAGCCCCUAAUGGCUCCUACAGAGUUGAGAGUUCAGUGGGGAGGGCUCUCCCCAGCCUGCAGGCUGCCUGGCCCCAGUCUGGAGGCCCUGGGGGAAUCCCCACCCCUUGCCCUCAGGCAGCUGCUCACAGCAAGUAGGGGCACCGAGGUAUAUAGACAAUUGGUGCCAGCUGGAGUGACAGACUGUCCAGGGGACCAUAGGCCCAAUCUCUGGGGACUGAGCUGCCUUCCUGGGGGCCUGAGGUUGGGGAUGUGGCUGGGCCCUAGGCACCAGGUGGGCUGGUACCGAGGCCAGCCUCCAGCCUACUGGUCCUCCCCGCUGUCUUCGAGGUCCGGGCUGGAGCUCAUUAGCACUUGAAUGGGGGGCGGGGUAGCCUGGGCCUCCAGUCUCUCCUUCCCACCCCUCCCCCAGGCAGGGCCAGGCUUUGUCUUCCUGAGCAGCAUUGGAGCUCCCACGCUGGGAACUGAGCUAGGGUCUCAGCCAUUUCGGACUCCACCCUCUCCCCUGUGCUUGCAUCUCACCCAGUCCCACCAAGCUCAGCCCCUGCCCAUGACCCUAGUGUUGGUGUAGCCAACAGGAGGGACUUCUGGUUAGGAGUGGGACUGGGUUCUUCAGGGGACACCCCGAGCCAGGAGACUGGGUGAGUCAGGAUGGCUUUGCAAAGGAAGUGAUGCUGGAACUCCGCUGAGGGCAUCCCAGGGGGCAGUGAGGUGGAGAACCCCAGAUAGGGCUGAGCAGGUGGCAAGGAGAGGGAAUGAAUUGCCGCCAUAAGCUGGAGGUGGAAGUCAAGCCAACUGGGCAGCACAGGCUUCCAUGCCAGGCCCUGGGGCAGCAUCAAGCCACCCACUGUGCUGAGGCGGACCCUAGGGUGCCAGAUGGGGGCUGGCGUGGUCAGGGAUCCCUUAGGGCAUGGGCAGCCUGUCAGAGAUUGGCCCUGGGCUGGCCUGAGCUGCAGGGGUCACUGGGUAACAUCAUUGGUGUCCUUGGCCUGCAAAUGUUGCCCAGCAAGUGACAGCAGGUAGGGGUGGGGCCUCAUCCCAUCCCGUGGAGGUCAGUAAGCCUCCAGCAUCACAGGGGCUGGCACUUCGGGUGGCUUGGGCCACAGGUGAGCACAGCAGUCUCUCUUGGUCUCUGUCUCUAAAAGCCACACAUUCUUUUGGCAGGAACAGGAUGGAAGACACUCUGUCCACAUAAGCUUUGUCCAUUGAGGGACCAGGGCCUCGCCCCAUCACGCCCUCAGCAGAGGAAGAGAUAGUCUGACCUGGAGCCUGAGUGCUGCCUCCCUAAAACCCCUUUAUGCUUUGGGAGGCAGGACUAGGCAGCUGGGGGCAGGGCCCAGGUCAGCAUCUGUGAGGUCUUCACAAUAUCUUGGGGCAGGAGUCCCAAUCUAGGAGUACAAUGAGAGGGAAGGGGUCACAGCUCAUGGUGUUCAUCUUGGUGGUUUGAGAGAAAUAAUCUCCUUGGAAUAAGCAAACAGCUGCUGGGUCGGGUUGGGUCUCAGCGUUGGCCUUCGGCGCACACUUCCAAGGCUUGGCAGUGAGUGCCAGGUCAGCUUGAAACAAAGCCUGAAGGUGGAAUUGUCUAAAGCUUGUUGAGAAGGUAUCCUCAUGGCUUAGAGGAUUCUGGGGUACGAGGCUGCUAAGCUUCAAAAUCUGCAGGGGGGUGUUGAUGGUGGCACCCACUGCGCCCUGGACGGGAGGAGGGGCAGUGAAGUCUGCAUGGCAGGGCUGGGCCUCUCGGGGAAGUGGUGUCCACACCAGAGGAAAAGGAGGAAGCAGCUGGAGGAGGAGGAGCCCAAAAGAGGAAGAGGCUAGAAGGCUGCUCCUACUCUGUGCUGGGGUGGGGGUGCGAGCCCUGUCAACUGGGGGAUCUGGAAGGUGAGCCCCACCUGCUCAGGCUCAGCUCUAGAUAGCCCUCGGGGGGCCACCACUCACCAGUGGUCACUAGGUUGACGUCAUUCCAGGCUCCUCUGGCCCUUGUCCUGCCUCAGCAGCCACUGCGCCCAGCAUCUCAGAAAAGGUGGUGCCUUUGAGAAUGAUUCCAGGCCCCUCCUUUGACCACAGGAAGUGGUGGUGGCUGGGAGAGGGACUGCAGCAGUGGGGGGAGCUAGCAGGAAAGCAGAGGGCUGCUCUUAUAUUCCCGAGCGGCCAUUGCCCUGCAAAGCCGGAAGGCCGGCUACAGGCCCAGAUGAAUGCCCGGAAAUGGAGCAGCAGUCCUGGGAUUAGCUCACUCUGGGUUUCCCCUGUCCGGGAGUGGACAGAGGGACCUUACUCUAGCCCUGGGAUUGCCCUCUACUGCUACUGUCCGCAGGGCCCGGGGGUCUGGUCACUGGGCGUCAAUCUCCCCUUGGUCACAACAGCUGCUGUCUCUCAUUGGGCCGUGACUGUCAUGUAGGACUGGACUCUGCAUGGCCUCAUUGUAUUUAACCCUGCGAGGCUGGGACUGACAUGAUACCCAUUCCACUGAUGGGGAAACAGGCUCGGAGAUGUUAUGUGACUUAUCCAAUAAGUGGAGACACCACACGUGACCAGAUACUGACAGAGCACCUGUCCACACAACUCCCCCUUCCGUCAGGAGUCUGUGCCCCACUGGCAAGAGUUGGUCAGACGGGGGGAUGAGAGUCAGAUGCUAUGGGUCCACGUGUCUUCUACUUAUGCUUGGGGACCUGUUUAGGGGGUCGGGGGCAAUUCCUCUUUUAGGAGAUUGAAAGGAGCCUACCUCCUCUGGAGGCUGGGGACCCAAGAAUCUGUUCAUGAAUGUGUUUCCUGUUCAGAGCCAGAAGUCUGGUGUGUGGCCACGGGGUGACUCUCCCAGUGCAGCUGCCCAUCUGCCUCUCAGCCCACGUUCCCUCACAGGAAGACUCAGAUCAUUGCUAGGCCACUGAGUACUUAACUCGUCUCCUGACAUUAUGCUGCUCCUCCCGUAGCAUAACUCAGGAGGAUGGAGACUAACUAGGUCUGAGGGAGGGUCGGGGCUGUCAGAGUCCCUGACAGCUGGAGGAGGAGGCAUAGUAGACCAGGUCUUGGUUGCUAGUGCUUCCAGGGUGGGGGUCCCUAAGUCUGGGAGUUGUCCGGAUGAGGAGAAGGGAGGAGCUUGCCUGCAGAGGGCUCCCACUAAGCAAAGGCUGUGGUGGGCUGCCUGCAGCGCUGUGUGGCAGCUGAGUGUGUCCACAGUGUGGGCCGGCAGUAGCAUAGUACGUGAGAUCGGUCCUCAUGCUCCUCAGCCUGUGAGUCGGAGUUUUGUGGCCUUGCCUUCCCCUGCGGAGGUUCCUGGGGGGGUCUGCUCUGUCAUCAGGCCAGGCCGCAGGGGGCUGAGGAGCCUGGGGAGCCUUAGGACAGCUAGAGCAGAUGCUUCAAGGACUUGCUGGGCCAUGAGGCCAUGCACAGAACAAAAAACCUGCAUCUUUAUGGCCACUCAAGACCUUGGGUCCCAGAAAGCCCACUCCCCCACCUUCUUCACUGUGUGACCUCAGGCUGUCCUUUGCCCUCUCUGUGCCCGGUCCUGAGACUGUGAUGUCAUGAUUCUCAGCAAGGCCCCAUGGCUUGUGGGCACAGAGACAAACUGUGUGCUUGGGCUGGACCUUGGGGCAGUUUGGAGUGAGUGUGAAGAUCCAAGGGAGGCUGCUCAGGGCAGGCCUUGAGUUUGGCACACUCUGUGGAGGGCUACAGUUCAUAGAUGAGAACAUUGAGGCCUGGGGGCUGGGCAUCUCCCCACAACAAAUCUGAAGAGAGGUGGGGUGACUCAGAUUCUUCGAAAACAGCAAGGGGAUUCCUUCAAUGAAGAAGCAUCCAAGAAGAGGAGUGUGUCAAUUGGCCUGGUUCCUUGUAUGACCUGGGCCCUGUCAAGCAUCUCCUGGCUCCUGGAAAGGGUGAGACCUGUAGACUAGGCCAACAAUGAGCAGGUCUCAGGGCCUCCUCCCUUCCAAGCUGGCCUGCCUUUGCCCAGUGCCUCAGUUUCCCUUUGUCCAGUGGGCAGGGCUCCACUACAGGGGACACGGCCCUGUCCCUGAAAGCCCUCUUCAUGUCUGGUAGGUCCCCAAGCCUCUCCCUUACACAGAAAGCUCUGACUUGGGAAGAGUAGACCAGAUCUUGGUUGCUAGUGCCUCCCUGGUGGGGGCAUCACAAACCCCUGGAAGCCACUGGAGGCUGCCCAAGUGGUAGAGACUGGAGAGAGGGGAGUUCCAGGUUUAUGAGGGCAGCUGGGGGAGGCAAGGCCACACUUGUGGGUGGGGGUGUCGCCGCCUCCUGUCCCUGCCCCCCACAGCGCCAGAUCCUGAUGACAGCCGCCUUGGAGGCAGUGAGGGUACCAAAGAGUAGCACCUGGAGGAAGGAAGAGACGCCAGGGGCGGGGCUUGGAGGGCCUUUGUCUGGCGGGCGCCCUCCCCCUCUCUCCCAUUUCCAUUGUUCCCUUGUGUGCCGGGUCUCCGGCGGCUGAGGGCCUCCCAGGCCUGGGAGAGGACUUUGAGUGAGGGUCCAGGCACCUCCCCCAGCUGCCCCUGGCCUAGGCGGCUUUUCUGGAGCAAAUACUCCCCAGCCCUGCCCAUGCCCCGCCUCCUCCACCGUCUCCGGCUGCCGGGCGCCCCCUGGUGGCGGCGGGGCUUGGGACCCUGAGGCCGCAGGGGAGGGGCCAGAGAGCCGAGGGGCCCAGGAACCGCUGCCUGGGCCAGAGACGUGGCACCUUCCUGGGAUGAGAGUGGGAGGUGGUGGCCAGGCUGCCUUUGGGGUAGGCUUCCCAGGGUUCACCCCCACCUUCUCCCUGUGCCCCACUAGGGCAGCCUGGGGGGUGGCAGUGGAGGCGGGCCUGGUACUGUGGGUUUGAGCUGGGCUGCAGCCCAAGUCUACCCUGUGGUCCCAGCCCUGCUGCUUAUGAGAAUCUCUGCCCUCAGGCCGCCACGUCAGCUGGCUGCUCUCCCUAGCCCCAUGUGUUCCAGGGGAGCCCACCAGCGAGGGAGCUUCUGCCCAGCCUUGUGAGCACAGUCAGUGAGCAGUGUCUGCGGCAAGGCUCUGCAGCGGGAAGGAGGCCCCAGCUAUGUAGCAGUACUGGCUUAUGUGGAGGGGGAGUGACGAACUCAGAGCCAGAAGCCCAAAAAGGACCAAGUGGCUCUGACUGCUGUCCCAUGCUACACAAGUCCCUGCAGGGAACGGCAGUGCCAAGCCAGCUUGUUAGCCACUGGUCACAGCCCUCCAUGGUGCUUUGUUGGAAAGCCUCAGACACUCUCCUUCCAAUGAGGUGGCCACAGCAGGCCACUCUGCAGGUUGUGGUUACAGUGACCUAUGCAGCAUGGCCAUUGUAGGCUGCAGGAAAUGAAAGGUUUGGGGUUGCCUGUGAUCUUCCAUAGAGGAGAAACAUAGUGAUGUGAUGAUAACUUUUAUCUGAGCGUUCACCGUGUGCUGGGCACUAUGAGAAGCUCUUUGUGUCUAAUCCUCCCCUCCCUCUUGAAGGAGAUAAUGGUGGUGUCCUGUUUCACAGAUGAGGUGCCAGAGCAAGGGCAGGAAGGGGAUGAGGUUCUUGGAAACGUCAGGAAGGAUCAGGGUGGGCACCAGGGCCAUGGAAGGUCUGAACCUCUCUCUGGGAGAGGAUCUGAGAGUGAGAGAUGGGCCAGCUGGCCACUCGAGGCUUGGCAGCCUCUACAGAAGGGAAACUGAGGCCAGAAAGGACAGUGGUAUGUCAGGGCCUCCCAGCAGGGGCAAAGCCUGGUCUGGAACAUAGAGGGUCCAGGAUUGACAGCCGUGACCUGAUGCUGGGGCUGGGAUGGCAUCAGGCAACUCGACCAGUGGUCCCAUCUCUGCUGCAGAGGCCCUGGCUGGCCUGGGCUCUUGCUCGGGCAGGUGGAGCUGUGCUGUCUCCCUUCCCCCAUCUGUUCCCUCCUCUAUUGGGGCCCAGCACUCCCAGAGUGGAAGCAGAUGUUCUAAUGCAGAGCAGCCGCUGUUGCCAGCACAUCGUGGCAAUUACUGCCUGCCUGCUGGGGGCCCAGCAUCUGCACCCUGGGGCAAGGGCUGCAGAGGUUUCUUCUUGAUGGGAAGAGGUCUGGCGCAAAAGGAGCACUGCAGCCAGCCUAGAGAGCCUCUGUGGACCCCUCUGAUCUCACCCAGCUGGAGAGGGGAGCACCUGGUGGGGUCCUCUGCAAGUUGGAGACUCCCGCCACCUUCCGUCAUCAGAAGCACUCAUCAGAAGCACAUUUGCAGCAGUCGUUUGCAGCAGUCCGGAGCCAGCUAGUGAAGACCCCUCCCUUAAGGGGAAGGUCAGGGCUGGGUGGGAAGAGCCAGGUACUCAGCAUCAGCAGAGUAUCAGCAAACUCCAAGCCAAGUACUAGCUUAUCUGAUAGGGGAGUACGGUCAGGCCCUGAAGGGAUGGGGCCCUGGGGAGGGGGUGAAGGGCGGGGCUGGGACCUACGGCUCCUGGGGUGCCUCGCCCCACCUGUUCCACCAUCUCACGCACCUCUACCCCUGCUCCCUAGUCUGCUUAUUGUAGCUGCUCCUGGGCCAUGGCUCUGCUUCUGUCCCUGUGUUCCCACAGCUUCCUGCCUGGCCACCAGCACCACACCCUUGUCCUGCUACUCACUCCUUCCUGCUUGAGUCACAGCCACUGGGAGGACAAAGGGACUGUCCCAAGUCCAGGGAUGGAGGCUCCAUGAUUUUUGUUUGUCCACCUGUCAAACGGGGGCAGAGAAUGUCCUCCUAACCCUCAAAAUGUGACAGGAAGGGAGCCCGAGGCCCAAAGGGGAUAGGAAAGUGGGCCCUCAGUUGGCUGGGACAGGGAGCAAGUGUCCUGGCUGCUGCCUGGUCCCCCAUGUACUGCCCACCUCUGUGUCUGCCAGGUCUCCUGCUGCUAGGAAAAUCAGAUGCAAAGCAAGUUUGUGCUGUUAUCCCUAUCUCUGGGCAGGGUCAUGGAACACCACGCCACUACCAGGAGAGUGGUCAAGAGGCCAGACAAGGAAACUGGUGCCUUGGGUGACAUGGUCCUAAACACACAAGAGGGGAUACCUCACCAAAAUCUCAGGUCUCCUGUGCCCUGCAGAGGUGUCCACUCUGAGUCUAGGUUUGCCUGGCUGGGGCCGGCAUGAUUGAUGACUCAUCACUUCAGAUCCUUUGCCUCUGGUCCCCCAUUGGGACCCCAAUCCUAGCUAAGACCCCUGAUUCCUGAGUCUUCCUCUGCCCCAGGAUGUGCUUCCUUUCUCCUGCUCUGUGGGAGCAAGUGUCUAGGUGGGAAUGACAGCCAGGAGGUCUGUCAGGCUAACACUGCCCUCCCUGGUCCUAGAUAUUUGGACCCUGGAGGAUGGGCCUCUGUGGUUGGGCAUCACUCUCAGACCUUCCUAGGCCCUCGCCCCAUGUCUCCACUCGACAGGUGUGGCAUGUCAGUGUGGGGGACUCUGCUGUUCCUCUGUCACGCACAGCCCAGCAGAGAAACAGUACUGCCGUUUGACCAAGCCCAUGUCCAGGGGGAUGCACUGGGAUAGGUGCUUCAAGUGCCUAGAGGCUGAACUGAUAGAGAGGCUUGUUGCCUCACACCACCCCCCAGCCUACCCAGAGCCUGUACCCUUGGGGGCUCCCCCUCCCCGCCGCCCAUUAGUCCUCUGUCCUGGGAAGCAGGCCUGGGACAGUCAGAAGCCUGGUGAUACCAGGCAGCCAUUGGCGUUUGUGAAGAGAGCCCAGACCCUUCUCAGGAGGCCACUGGGUUUUGGACAUACCCAGCCUAUGCCCUGUGAGGGACCCAGCUUGCCUCUGUUUGUCCUGGUAAAAUGUAGCUCUGGGGUGGGGUGGGUACGAUAAAUGGAGGUGGGCAGGGACCUUGGCAGGGACAGGGUGGGGGUGCUCUACUACCGCUUGGAGUGCACUGCAGAGAUUCAAGAGCAAUGUCGGCCUGGGAAGGCAGGUGGUGAACCCAGCAACAGGUGCAGUUGAAGCUCGAGGACCUUGUAGCUCAGCUGCAGUACAGGGCUCUUGGGUCAGCCCUAGGAGGCCAGCGAGGUGGGCCACCCACAGGGGGGAUUAUGACUGCGUGACAGCAGCCACUCUGUUUCCUCAUUUGUGAGGUGGGAUUGCUGUGAUUCAGUUGCUUAGUAGGCGUAGAAUAGCAUCUAGCACAUAGAGGGCGCUGUUUGUGGCUUUGCCAUCAGGAUGCUUGCUGACACUAUUCUAGUUUAUGUUAGCCCCUCACCCUCUGAGAUUGUCUUCACCUACCCUGAGGGAUGAGGGAGCCAGAGUUCCCGAAUGUAACCUCCCCACAGACCCCACCACCUGGCCUGCUGAGCUGCUCAGAGGGACAGACCUACCACAAUGAUCAAGAGGGUUUAGGACACACAUAAAUGGGGCAUGGGGCACAUAUGCCCAGCAAAGAAAACUACCUGGGCAAAUGCCUAGUGCUGGCAAGAGGCAGAGCCUGGCAGGUGCAGGACUACUUUUCAGUGCCUCAGUGUCCUUGUCUGUAAAAUGGGAACCGAAACAAUAUGUUUGUGGAGCUAAUAGGACAGUCAUGGGGAAGAGUAGUAGCAAAUCCCUCAGUAGUGGCCGAAGAGAACACAGAAUGGGCCUCUGCUAGACUUAGAAACAUCUUGCAUCAGCCCAGAGGUGUGUACGUAUGGGUCCGUGUGUGUGUCUCCCAAGUCCUGGCCUCCAUCUGCUUAGGGUAGACUUGGGCCAUGCCUGGGAGCCAGCAGUAUGACACUGUGCCCCAGCCCAGGCCCCUUGAUGGUUCAGAGUAUGAGGAGAAGAGGGCCUACUACACUGCUGGAGUGUGCAGGGCUGCUUCCUGCCAGCUGUGCCCAGGCCUCAGGUUGGCAAACCUACACACAUGAAAAUGACAGGGAGACUCCUGAGGGCUGGCCUUGUCUCCAGCCAAAGCCCCUGAGCUCAGUCAGUGGCGGGUGGGGGUGCCAUGGUUUGCAGUGAAGCUUGUGGGAAGCCAAGGCUUGGGGUGAGUCCACCAGGGGUGCAGGUGGUCUAGGUUGCCUUGACCACUGUGGCCCUGCCAGCUGUACCCUUGGUAGCUUUGCUGCCCACCAGGCCCAACUGUCUCUUUCUCCCUGUGCAGUCGAUGGGGAGGGGCUGCUGGCAGCUAGGCCACUGGUUAGUUAUGCGUGUAGCCCCACUGGGCUGUUCCCUGACCGUCUGUGUUCUCUG